rnacentral:tRNA from 1 species
GCCCUUGUAGCUCAAUGGAUAGAGCUGCACCGUCCUAAGGUGAAAAUGUAGGUUCGAUUCCUACCAAGGGCA